rnacentral:rRNA from 1 species
GACGAACGCUGGCGGCGUGCUUAACACAUGCAAGUCGAGCGGUAAGGCCCUUUCAGGGGUACACGAGCGGCGAACGGGUGAGUAACACGUGGGUGACCUGCCCUCAGCUCUGGGAUAAGCCUGGGAAACCGGGUCUAAUACUGGAUAUGACUCCAUGACGCAUGUUGUGGGGUGGAAAGCCUUGUGCGGCUGAGGAUGGGCCCGCGGCCUAUCAGCUUGUUGGUGGGGUGAUGGCCUACCAAGGCGACGACGGGUAGCCGGCCUGAGAGGGCGACCGGCCACACUGGGACUGAGACACGGCCCAGACUCCUACGGGAGGCAGCAGUGGGGAAUCUUGCGCAAUGGGCGAAAGCCUGACGCAGCGACGCCGCGUGA